GACGAACGCUGGCGGCGUGCUUAACACAUGCAAGUCGAACGGUGAACCUCUUCGGAGGGGAUCAGUGGCGAACGGGUGAGUAACACGUGGGCAACCUGCCCCCGGCUCUGGGAUAACUCCAAGAAAUUGGGGCUAAUACCGGAUGUUCACCGCUUCCCGCAUGGGUGGUGGUGGAAAGGGUUUCCGGCUGGGGAUGGGCCCGCGGCCUAUCAGCUUGUUGGUGGGGUAGUGGCCUACCAAGGCGACGACGGGUAGCCGGCCUGAGAGGGUGACCGGCCACACUGGGACUGAGACACGGCCCAGGCUCCUACGGGAGGCAGCAGUGGGGAAUAUUGCGCAAUGGGCGGAAGCCUGACGCAGCGACGCCGCGUGGGGGGUGACGGCCUUCGGGUUGUAAACCUCUUUCAGCAGGGACGAAGCGCAAGUGACGGUACCUGCAGAAGAAGCACCGGCCAACUACGUG
rnacentral:rRNA from 1 species